GUCGUAACAAGGUUUCCGUAGGUGAACCUGCGGAAGGAUCAUUAAAGAGUUGGCCUCUGCUGGGUGGGCUUGCCGCUCGCCUGGUGGGGAUGAGAGAGUGGAAGUUCUCGGGUCUCCUUGCUCCUCGGCUGGCUGCCUGCUGAAAGGCGGGCUGGCUGGCUGGGAGGCGAGGUGAGCCUGGCGGCCUGGGCCUGUCUGCCCUGUGCCGACCACACCAUGUCCGGUCCGGUCGGAGCCCUCGGCUCUCCGGGCUCGCUGGUGGCCCUUUGGGGCGAGGUACGGUGCCUCCAAGACAGCUUGAGAGGAUCGACCGGCGGAUCGAAUGCUGUGGCUUUGAGCGAGCAUCUCGAACUGUCCGGUCGGCUAACCGUUCAAAGACCUCCGCCUCCCUCAAGGGUUUGAUUGUGCCCCCUACCCUCGUGGUGGGAUGUUGGAAAAGGAGGAGUGAUUGUCGGUUUAUUUUUCUGUUCUUCGACCUGAAGCCCGGCCUGACGGGCUGGGUUGAAGGGAGAGGAAAAAAUGGAAAAAAUAUCACACCGUACAGUGGAUCACUUGGCUCGGGGGUCGAUGAAGAACGCAGUUAGCUGCGCGUCGGAAUGUGAACUGCAGGACAUAUGAGCAUCGACACUUUGAACGCAUAUUGCGGACCGGGGUUCGUCCCCUGUCCAUGUCUGGCUCAGGGUCGGUUUAACAUCCAUCCAGCUUGGAUUCAACUAGAGUCCUUGCUGGCGUUGGGGUCUGUCUCUGCUGGCGCUCUGAGAGUGCUGGCAGAGUCCCCCGAAGAUGUGCCGCCUGCCUUGCUGGAGGUGAGCCCUUGCUGACUCUUGGGUGUGAUGAUGAUGAUGGCUGCGGGAGACCGCGGCUGUCGUCUGUCUGCCUGGGUUGGCUUCGAAUGGGGUUCGCUUCCGGUGGUGGGCAAGCGGGCGUGGGGCUCUGAGUUCCCUGUGCCCGCUGACCGAUAAGGAAUACUUCUGACCUGAGAGCAGGCAAGGCUACCCGCUGAACUUAAGCAUA
rnacentral:rRNA from 1 species